rnacentral:misc_RNA from 1 species
UCUCCGUAGGUGAACCUGCGGAGGGAUCAUUACAGAGUUCGUGCCCUCGCGGGUAGAUCCCCCACCCUGUGUUAUUGCUACCUUUGUUGCUUUGGCGGGCCGCCCUCGGCUACCGGCCCGGCUGGUACGCGCCCGCCAGAGGACCCCAAACCCUGAACGUCAGUGUCGUCUGAGUACUAUACAAUAGUUAAAACUUUCAACAACGGAUCUCUUGGUUCUG